rnacentral:rRNA from 1 species
GCUCAGAUUGAACGCUAGCGGGAUGCCUUACACAUGCAAGUCGAACGGCAGCACGGACUUCGGUCUGGUGGCGAGUGGCGAACGGGUGAGUAAUGUAUCGGAACGUGCCUAGUAGCGGGGGAUAACUACGCGAAAGCGUAGCUAAUACCGCAUACGCCCUACGGGGGAAAGCAGGGGAUCGCAAGACCUUGCACUAUUAGAGCGGCCGAUAUCGGAUUAGCUAGUUGGUGGGGUAACGGCUCACCAAGGCGACGAUCCGUAGCUGGUUUGAGAGGACGACCAGCCACACUGGGACUGAGACACGGCCCAGACUCCUACGGGAGGCAGCAGUGGGGAAUUUUGGACAAUGGGGGAAACCCUGAUCCAGCCAUCCCGCGUGUGCGAUGAAGGCCUUCGGGUUGUAAAGCACUUUUGGCAGGAAAGAAACGUCAUGGGCUAAUACCCCGUGAAACUGACGGUACCUGCAGAAUAAGCACCGGCUAACUACGUGCCAGCAGCCGCGGUAAUACGUAGGGUGCAAGCGUUAAUCGGAAUUACUGGGCGUAAAGCGUGCGCAGGCGGUUCGGAAAGAAAGAUGUGAAAUCCCAGAGCUUAACUUUGGAACUGCAUUUUUAACUACCGAGCUAGAGUGUGUCAGAGGGAGGUGGAAUUCCGCGUGUAGCAGUGAAAUGCGUAGAUAUGCGGAGGAACACCGAUGGCGAAGGCAGCCUCCUGGGAUAACACUGACGCUCAUG